UACGUAGGGUGCAAGCGUUGUCCGGAAUUAUUGGGCGUAAAGAGCUCGUAGGCGGUUUGUUGCGUCGGCUGUGAAAUCCCGAGGCUCAACCUCGGGUCUGCAGUCGAUACGAGCAAACUAGAGUGUUGCAGGGGAGACUGGAAUUCCUGGUGUAGCGGUGAAAUGCGCAGAUAUCAGGAGGAACACCGGUGGCGAAGGCGGGUCUCUGAGCAACAACUGACGCUGAGGAGCGAAAGCGUGGGGGAGCGAACAGG
rnacentral:rRNA from 1 species